rnacentral:rRNA from 1 species
AUUGAACGCUGGCGGCAGGCUUAACACAUGCAAGUCGAGCGGAGAUGAGGUGCUUGCACCUUAUCUUAGCGGCGGACGGGUGAGUAAUGCUUAGGAAUCUGCCUAUUAGUGGGGGACAACAUUCCGAAAGGAAUGCUAAUACCGCAUACGCCCUACGGGGGAAAGCAGGGGGUCUUCGGACCUUGCGCUAAUAGAUGAGCCUAAGUCGGAUUAGCUAGGUGGUGGGGUAAAGGCCUACCAAGGCGACGAUCUGUAGCGGGUCUGGGAGGAUGAUCCGCCACACUGGGACUGAGACACGGCCCAGACUCCUACGGGAGGCAGAAGUGGGGAAUAUUGGACAAUGGGCGGAAGCCUGAUCCAGCCAUGCCGCGUGUGUGAAGAAGGCCUUUUGGUUGUAAAGCACUUUAAGCGAGGAGGAGGCUACCUGGAUUAAUACUCUAGGAUAGUGGACGUUACUCGCAGAAUAAGCACCGGCUAACUCUGUGCCAGCCGCCGCCGUAAGAC